GUGAGGAAUAUUGGACAAUGGGCGCAAGCCUGAUCCAGCCAUGCCGCGUGCAGGAAGACGCAUCUAUGGUGUGUAAACUGCUUUUGUACGGGAAGAAACACUCCCUCGUGAGGGAGCUUGACGGUACCGUAAGAAUAAGGAUCGGCUAACUCCGUGCCAGCAGCCGCGGUAAUACGGAGGAUCCAAGCGUUAUCCGGAAUCAUUGGGUUUAAAGGGUCCGUAGGCGGUUUAAUAAGUCAGUGGUGAAAGCCCAUCGCUCAACGAUGGAACGGCCAUUGAUACUGUUAGACUUGAAUUACAAGGAAGUAACUAGAAUAUGUAGUGUAGCGGUGAAAUGCUUAGAUAUUACAUGGAAUACCAAUUGCGAAGGCAGGUUACUACUUGUGGAUUGACGCUGAUGGACGAAAGCGUGGGGAGCGAACAGGAUUAGAUACCCGAGUAGUCC
rnacentral:rRNA from 1 species